rnacentral:rRNA from 1 species
CCCUUAGAUGUUCUGGGCCGCACGCGCGCUACACUGAUGCAUUCAACGAGCCUAUCCUUGACCGACAGGUCCGGGUAAUCUUUGAAUCUGCAUCGUGACGGGGAUAGAUUAUUGCAAUUAUUAAUCUUCAACGAGGAAUGCCUAGUAGGCGCAAGUCAUCAGCUUGCGUCGAUUACGUCCCUGCCCUUUGUACACACCGCCCGUCGCUCCUACCGAUUGAGUGGUCCGGUGAGGCUUUGGGAUCUGAGCGGAAAGAGCGUUUCGCUGUUUCUGCCCGGAAAACUCAGUCGAACCUUAUCAUUUAGAGGAAGGAGAAGUCGUAACA